CCUAUGGGAGGCAGCAGUGAGGAAUAUUGGUCAAUGGGCGCGAGCCUGAACCAGCCAAGUAGCGUGAAGGAUGACUGCCCUACGGGUUUUAAACUUCUUUUAUAAAGGAAUAAAGUGAGGCACGUGUGCUUUUUUGUAUGUACUUUAUGAAUAAGGAUCGGCUAACUCCGUGCCAGCAGCCGCGGUAAUACGGAGGAUCCGAGCGUUAUCCGGAUUUAUUGGGUUUAAAGGGAGCGUAGAUGGGUUGUUAAGUCAGUUGUGAAAGUUUGCGGCUCAACCGUAAAAUUGCAAUUGAUACUGGCAGUCUUGAGUACAGUUGAGGUAGGCGGAAUUCGUGGUGUAGCGGUGAAAUGCUUAGAUAUCACGAAGAACUCCGAUUGCGAAGGCAGCUUACUAAACUGCCACUGACAUUGAUGCUCGAAAGUGUGGGUAUCAAACAGGAUUAGAUACCCCUGUAGUC
rnacentral:rRNA from 1 species